rnacentral:rRNA from 1 species
UACAGAGGGGGCAAGCGUUGUUCGGAAUUACUGGGCGUAAAGGGCGCGUAGGCGGCCUGUUAAGUCGAACGUGAAAUCCCCGGGCUCAACCCGGGAACUGCGUCCGAUACUGGCAGGCUCGAAUCCGGGAGAGGGAUGCGGAAUUCCAGGUGUAGCGGUGAAAUGCGUAGAUAUCUGGAGGAAUACCGAUGGCGAAGGCAGGUCUCUGGGCUGAUACUGACGCUCAUGCACGAAAGCGUGGGGAGCAAACAGG